rnacentral:rRNA from 1 species
GACGAACGCUGGCGGCGUGCCUAAUACAUGCAAGUAGAACGCUGAAGGAGGAGCUUGCUUCUCUGGAUGAGUUGCGAACGGGUGAGUAACGCGUAGGUGACCUGCCUGGUAGCGGGGGAUAACUAUUGGAAACGAUAGCUAAUACCGCAUAAGAGUAGAUGUUGCAUGACAUUUGCUUAAAAGGUGCAAUUGCAUCACUACCAGAUGGACCUGCGCUGUAUUAGCUAGUUGGUGGGGUAACGGCUUACCAAGGCGACGAUACAUAGCCGACCUGAGAGGGUGAUCGGCCACACUGGGACUGAGACACGGCCCAGACUCCUACGGGAGGCAGCAGUAGGGAAUCUUCGGCAAUGGACGGAAGUCUGACCGAGCAACGCCGCGGGAGUGAAGAAGGUUUUCGGAUCGUAAAGCUCUGUUGUAAGAGAAGAACGAGUGUGAGAGUGGAAAGUUCACACUGUGACGGUAGCUUACCAGAAAGGGACGGCUAACUACGUG